rnacentral:rRNA from 1 species
GAUGAACGCUGGCGGCGUGCCUAAUACAUGCAAGUCGAGCGAGCAGACGCGGAGCUUGCUCCUCUGACUAUAGCGGCGGACGGGUGCUUAACACGUGGAUAACCUACCUAUAAGACUGGGAUUACUUCGUGAAACCGCAGCUACUAACGGAUAAUAUAUUGAACCGCAUGGUUCAAUAGUGCAGGACGCUUUUGCCGUCACUUCUAGGUAAAUCCGCACCGAGUUAGCGACGUGGUAAGGUAACGACUUACCAGGGCGACGAUCCGUAGCCGACCAGAGAGGGGGAUCGUACACACUGGAAUGGAGACACGGUCCAGAAUCCGAAGGGAGGCAGCAGUAGGGAAUCUUCCGCAAUGGGCGAAAGCCUGACGGAGCAACGCCGCGUGAGUGAUGAAGGGCUUCGGAUCGUAAAACUUUGUUAUUAGGGAAUAACAAAUGUGUAAUUAACUAUGCACGUCUUGACGGUACCUAAUCAGAAAGCCACGGCUAACUACGUG